rnacentral:sRNA from 1 species
CUGAAAUGGUCAGGCCCCCCCACGUUGGGCAGAAGC